GUCUUUGCGCAGUGGCAAUAUCGUAAGCAAUGAGUUUUAUUCGAGGUGCGAUUGUUGCUAUUGAAAACUUAUACCAAUACCCCGCCUGUUGUUGUUGCGGUCUUCAGUCGUGAGACUGGUUUGAUGCAGCUCUCCAUGCU